CUGUGUAGCUCAGUGGUAGAGUACUUGUCUAGCAUGCAUGAGGCCCUGGGUUCAAUCACCAAUAUACAGA
rnacentral:tRNA from 1 species